AUGACAACUCGGCAAGUCACAAGUACGCUAUUUGGGACAUCGCCUUGCACCUGAAGGAACCUCCCGGGACCCCUACCAUCGAUGAAUCAGGAUUCAUGUGCUUCUGGCACGACGUCCCUAACAGCCCCUUCAUCGAACUCAGUCUCUGGAAUUGCUGGACCUUUUAUGUGGGAAAUGCCACCGUAACAACCCUAAUGGCGGGCACCACCUCCUCACUGAGCUCACCUGGGGCUUCCGGCUAUCAAAAUCUUACCCAGGGCCGGCCUGGUGGUGCAGCGGUUAAGUGCACACGUUCCGCUUUGGCAGCUUGGGGUUCACCGGUUCGGAUCCCGGGUGUGGACAUGGCACCGCUUAUCAAGCCAUGCUGUGGCAGGCGUCCCACGUAUAAGGAUCUAAAGGAGGCGUGAAUAAGAAGCCAGAUGCUUGGGAGUAAAUUCCAAGGAUCUGACAUGGCCUCCGACCAUAUUCAGGCGACGUCUGUACCCAGGCAAGGGGCUUCCAGGGGAGGAACUUGUGUGCUGUGGUUGGGAGCAGCUCCUGCCUGUUCCUCAGGAACUCAGACAUUAUCACCACGAACAAGAAGAUGGAGAAGCCGACAAGGCGGUCUGCCCAGUUGCUACCGCUGUUCUGACGCCACCAACCAACGAUCUCUUCUCACCUCCUUCUCGGAACCCUCUCGACUGGCUGCCGUCUGGCCUCAGAUCUUGGUUUUAGGCCCUUAUUCAACCAUGAAUAGUUCUCUUUGGAUUUCUCUUCCCAGGAAUACUCAUCUUCAAACGCCUGGUGCCCUCAGUCGGCUCCAGAUUCAACAUUUUACACAUCAAAUGGUUCAACAGGUCUUGCACAAACAGCAGGGACGAAAAGCCAGUCCUGACAUCACCGCAGACACUAAGAAAAUCUUGUUGGAGAGUGAGCUCUCCAUAUCCGCCCAGGGUCAGUCCGUGUCAUCUCUCCCUUGUUGGAA
rnacentral:lncRNA from 1 species